rnacentral:rRNA from 1 species
GAUGAACGCUAGCGGCAGGCUUAAUACAUGCAAGUCGAGGGGCAGCAUGACUGUAGCAAUACAGUUGAUGGCGACCGGCAAACGGGUGCGGAACACGUACAGAACCUUCCUUCGAGCGGGGAAUAGCCCAGAGAAAUUUGGAUUAAUACCCCAUAGUACAUUAGAGUGGCAUCACUUUGAUGUUAAAGAUUUAUCACUUGAAGAUGGCUGUGCGGCUGAUUAGGUAGUUGGCGGGGUAACGGCCCACCAAGCCUGCGAUCAGUAACUGGUGUGAGAGCACGACCAGUCACACGGGCACUGAGACACGGGCCCGACUCCUACGGGAGGCAGCAGUAAGGAAUAUUGGUCAAUGGACGAAAGUCUGAACCAGCCAUGCCGCGUGGAGGAUGAAGGUCCUCUGGAUUGUAAACUUCUUUUAUAUGGGACGAAAAAGGGUUUUCUAACUCGUCUGACGGUACCAUAUGAAUAAGCACCGGCUAACUCCGUGCCAG